CCUGAAGGACAACCAGCAGUGCAGGUCAGCAGCCCAGCAUCAGUUCGAGCUGUAAUGCUACAAAACAGGCUUCACAUGGGAAAAGAAGAUGCUGCUCCAUAAGGUAAUGAAUCCAAGGCAUGACCUCUGUGCCCGUUAUGUUCUACUUGUCUCCUACUAGGGCAGAAAGAAAAGAAGAGUUGAGCUGAGGGACACACCAAGGUAUGACAAGGGUGGUUAAUUGCCUGCCCUGCUUUCCCCAGCAGCUGUGGGCUCAGUUUGGAUAUCUCUGAAGCAUUUCUGCCUUUUGGAAACCAAGCUAAGUCAUAGCUUGUGGGUGCAGGGCCGUGGACUAAAGCAUGACCUGGUUACUAAUAAAAUCAGCCAGAAAUGUGAAGAGUAUCUACUCUCCUCCCAGUGGGUUUUAGAGAGAUUCAUCCCAGGAUGCCACACGACUUCUUUUGAAGGAGAUAUGCAGUCCACACAGACGUGGGGUGAAUUCACAAACAACAUUCAACCUUCUGUAGCCAGUGGUUUCAUCUGGAUCAGAUACACAAUUGAGACUUCUGGGUUAAAGAGCUUUUGGCCAAGCAUGAUGGUGCCCAGUGUCCCUACCACUCAGAGAUAAAGGUCAAUGGGCAGGGUUUGUCUCUUUCCCAGAGGUAAACUAUUCUUAUCCCCAAGUCUAUCCUUACAGUCAGGCAAUAUUUAUCAGGAUGCUAACAUAAGAGAAGGAGAAGAAAACUAUCUUUUGGAAGGAUGAUGCCUUUGAGUUAGGGCAGAGACACCAUCCAGGAGCAAAUAUCUCACUUCACUCUUACAUUUUUCAUAAUCUUUUACUGAGACCCUGUGGCUCUUUCCAAGCCACCCAUUUCAGUAUAUCUGAACCACAAGCAGUGGAAGCAGAAAGCAGGAAAAACACCUUGUAAAACACAAUAUUUAGAAAAAAAAAAAUACAGGGAACAGCAUUCUGUGUCUCAUCACAAAGGAACCAGAGCAGAUGGGUGACUUCCCCCUAUAAUCUAACAUCCAGGAGAAUAAUCCCAGAGGGAGACUUCAGGAGAAGAAGACCAUCAGGUGGAUUUACAAUGCUGGAGGAAAAGGUGCCUAGAGCUUCUAGGAAACAGCCCUGGAGUUAAUUUUUGGAAAUAAACCACAAUAAAGAAAUUACCA
rnacentral:lncRNA from 1 species